AGCAGAGGUGGACUGGGCAUUGAAACCUUUUGAGGAAUGAUGAAAUCUUCUAACGUAACGUAAAAUUCUGCAGAAUUAGAAGAUUGAGUGAUUUUUUUGUUUGCAUUUUCCCAUUCAGAUAGAGGUUCUCAGAAUUUAUUCAUAUUCUUUGUAACAACCUAACAUUGUUGUUCAAGGUUGUCUGCACUUCAAAUGUGUCCUAGCUGAGCAGCUUGUUUUAAAAGAUGUCUCAUCGAGAGUCCAAACAAGCUGCAACAGUUGACCUCAUGCCCAGUCUCCAUGGCUCUCCAGUACGCUGGUUCCCAUGGGGGUGCAGGAUGGAUAUGAUUUGGCUCCAGACCAGGCUCCAGCUCCAUCACCCCAGGUGUGUGCCCCAGCUGCCCUCACCCUAUUGGGCCCAGCAGAACCACGCUGCCUACUUGCAGCAGCUCUUCAAGCUCCACCACAGUUCCCUCAUCUCUUUCUACGUUGUGCCACCAUGCUGUAGCCAGGAGCAUGACCAAUUGCCUAGUUCUUGAUUCAUCAAGCAUCCAUUUUCUCAUGGCUGUGAACAGGAAGAAGUCUGAGGGGAGCUGUAAGUGGCAGUGUGCCGUUUCUGCCCAGGCCUGGUGGAACAUGUAGGAGCACCUGCUGAGGGGCAGUGCCAGCAUGAAGUGAUUCCUGUGGUACCCCUGUGGCAGAGUCAAGAGAGGACCCUUUUCUGCUCAGUCCAGCUUUUUUCCCAGCCAACAAACGACAACAGCAAUAAAGAAGGUGAAGGAGUUCGGCUGUUAGUUAGCUCCAGUGAUGUGGAAGAAGGGAAAUGCCUUGGAGAGAGUUUACCGUUAUAGUAAGUUAAUGGAUGGCUUUAAUCUGCCCAUUUUAAACAUGUUUGGAGGGCAA